UUUAUUAAAACAAAAUUGUUUUGCUACAUACAAAUAAGUAUUCUAGCUUUUAAAAUUACUAAUCACAGCAAAAAUGUUAAAAAAAAACAAACAUUUGUAAUAUGCAACACCACUGAAGAUAAUAGUGUUAAUUAACUAUUCUGACCAAAUGUUUACAUUAUGCUACAACACACUUUAAUUAGUACAUUAUUUAUACAAAAAUCAUGACAAGUUCAAAAUAUAUCGCAUAUAUAAAUAAAAAUCAGCAAUUUCAACAACACACAAAAACCAAUGGCACACUAUGUGUUUGAGCAUUUUAUCUUUUGCUACACGUGUACUGUAUAGUGUAACCUUGCUAUUAAGAUGGCAAAAUGGAAUAUGAUUUUUUUAAAAACAGCAAAAGUUCAUUAUUCCAUACUUCAAGUUACAAAAUCUACAUUUGAAUGAGAGCCAGGAAAGAUUACAUUUUACCAUGCAAAGAAUUAACUAAUUUUUUUCUAAUA